UACGAUUCAUUAAAAAGCAAAAUUGCACAUCCCCGUGCUGGCAGCUGAGGCUGAGCCUCCCCGGGCGGAGGGGGCAUUCACUGAGUUGCCUUUGUAUGCUGGGAGGACCAAGCCGGAGGUUCCCACUAUGCAGCCCGGAGUCUGUGCAGCCAGAUGACGCAUGAGAGGCGUGGAACCUGGUGAUGAAGGCCAGACUUGAGGGACCGUAAGAAUCUGCAAUGUCCUUGCCUGCAUCCCCCACUUCCGGGCUUAGGAACUAAAGACUCAUCCAAUGUAUUAAAACAUUAAAGGACCAUUUCCGGCUAUGAGUGAGGUCUGGAUAAAGUGUGUUACCUCCUAACUGAAGUUUAGGGAGAAGUUCAGUAUCUUUAGAAAUAGUAACCCCCCGGAACUGAAACUGAAGCUGACAGGAACUUCAGGCAGAAGAGACCAGUCAGCGAAGGAAAUAUCAUGCUAUCGACCCACUUGGCCUGUGCUCAGGUUGUAUUCCAGAUGUACAUGGAACAUGAGCUGAUCAUGUGCACAAAACAGCCCACCUUUAUCUCAGGAAUAUGGAAGAGAGGUGGAGAAAGAGACAGCUCAGCUCCAAAUGAGGAGUUGCCCUUUCAUAAUGCAUCAACAUUAUUGACUGGCCUGUGAUUCCUUACUUGGAGUUAAGGCACAGAGGAAAGGCCAUGUGAGGACACAGGGAGAGAUAGCCAGGAAGAGUUUUUACCAGAAACCAACCCUGCCGGCACCUUGAUCUUGGACUUCCAGCCUCCAGGACUGUAAGAAAUGAAUUUAUGCCACCCAGUCUGUGAUAUUUUGUUGUGGCAGCCCAAGCAGACUAAUAUAAGUACAUUAGUGGAAAUUAUAAAGUAAUCCGUAUUACAAUUAUUGUAUUUUAC